rnacentral:rRNA from 1 species
GCCCGUACCGAAAAUGGACACACAUGGGUGAGGAGAGAAUCCUAAGGUGAGCGAGAGAACUAUAGCUAAGGAACUCUGCAAAAUGACUCCGUAACUUAGGGAGAAGGAGUGCUCAUAGAGAUAUGAGCCGCAGUGAAACGGCCCAAGCGACUGUUUACCAAAAACACAGCUCUCUGCUAAGCCGCAAGGCGAAGUAUAGGGGGUGACGCCUGCCCGGUGCUGGAAGGUUAAGGGGAGGGGUUAACGCAAGUGAAGCCCUGAACUGAAGCCCCAGUAAACGGCGGCCGUAACUAUAACGGUCCUAAGGUAGCGAAAUUCCUUGUCAGGUAAGUUCUGACCCGCACGAAAGGCGUAACGAUUUGGGCGCUGUCUCGGCUGUAGACUCGGUGAAGUCUUAGUACCUGUGAAGAUGCAGGUUACCCGCGACUAGACGGAAAGACCCCAUGGAGCUUUACUGUAGCCUGAUAUUGGACUCUGAUGCAUGAUGUACAGGAUAGGUAGGAGGCUGAGAUACGGAUACGCCAGUAUUCGAGGAGCCGACGUUGGGAUACUACCCUUGAUGCAUUGGAGUUCUAACCGGGCCUCAUGGAACUGAGGACGGGACAGUGUCAGGUGGGCAGUUUGACUGGGGCGGUCGCCUCCCAAAGAGUAACGGAGGCGCCCAAAGAUACCCUCAGCAUGGAUGGAAACCAUGCGCAGAGUGCAAAGGCAGAAGGGUGUUUGACUGCGAGACAGACGAGUCGAGCAGGGACGAAAGUCGGGCUUAGUGAUCCGGCGGCACCGCAUGGAAGGGCCGUCGCUCAACGGAUAAAAGCUACCCUGGGGAUAACAGGCUGAUCUCCCCCAAGAGUUCACAUCGACGGGGAGGUUUGGCACCUCGAUGUCGGCUCAUCGCAUCCUGGAGCUGAAGUCGGUUCCAAGGGUUGGGCUGUUCGCCCAUUAAAGCGGUACGCGAGCUGGGUUCAGAACGUCGUGAGACAGUUCGGUCCCUAUCUGUCGUGGGCGCAGGAAGUUUGAGGAGAGCUGCCCUCAGUACGAGAGGACCGGGGUGGACGGACCGAUGGUGCACCAGUUGUCACGCCAGUGGCACAGCUGGGUAGCCAAGUCCGGAAGGGAUAAACGCUGAAGGCAUCUAAGCGUGAAGCCCCCUCCAAGAUGAGACUUCCCAUUCUUCGGAAGGAAGGUCCCUCCAAGACGAGGAGGUAGAUAGGUCAUGGGUGCAAGCAUGGCGACAUGCUGAGCUGAAUGAUACUAAUAGACCGAGAGCUUAGCCAU